rnacentral:rRNA from 1 species
UACGUAGGGUGCGAGCGUUAAUCGGAAUUACUGGGCGUAAAGCGUGCGCAGGCGGCGCGUUAAGACAGGUGUGAAAGCCCCGAGCUUAACUUGGGAAUUGCGCUUGUGACUGGCGAGCUGGAGUGUGGCAGAGGGAGGUGGAAUUCCACGUGUAGCAGUGAAAUGCGUAGAUAUGGGGAGGAACACCGGUGGCGAAGGCGGCCAUCUGGACGGAUACUGACGCUGAGACGCGAAAGCGUGGGGAGCAAACAGG